rnacentral:rRNA from 1 species
GACGAACGCUGGCGGCGUGCUUAACACAUGCAAGUCGAACGGAAAGGCCCUGCUUUUGUGGGGUGCUCGAGUGGCGAACGGGUGAGUAACACGUGAGUAACCUGCCCUUGACUUUGGGAUAACUUCAGGAAACUGGGGCUAAUACCGGAUAGGAGCUCCUGCUGCAUGGUGGGGGUUGGAAAGUUUCGGCGGUUGGGGAUGGACUCGCGGCUUAUCAGCUUGUUGGUGGGGUAGUGGCUUACCAAGGCUUUGACGGGUAGCCGGCCUGAGAGGGUGACCGGCAACAUUGGGACUGAGAUACGGCCCAGACUCCUCCGGGAGGCAGCAGUGGGGAAUAUUGCACAAUGGGCGGAGGCCUGAUGCAGCAACGCCGCGUGCGGGAUGACGGCCUUCGGGUUGUAAACCGCUUUCGCCUGUGACGAAGCGUGAGUGACGGUAAUGGGUAAAGAAGCACCGGCUAACUACGU